rnacentral:sRNA from 1 species
GUGGCGUGGCGUGGCGGGGUCUCGCGGCGCGGGCGCGCACCCGGAGCUGUGGACGGAGAGUGCCUCCCUCUGGCCUCAGUUUCCUCAUGUUGUAGUAGCGGAGCAAGGCCCGGACCGGGCCCCCGAGACCGCCCCGUGCAACCUCACCGCCAGCCUGGGGGCCUCAGCGACCGGGACGGGACCAAGGGGCUCGGGGAUUCUCCCUGCCCCCGGCCCUGGUGCGUGACUGACCCUCCUGUUCCCAGAGCCCCCAGCGCAGGCCGGGAUGUUCGUCCUGGUGGAGAUGGUGGACACCGUCCGGAUCCCCCCUUGGCAGUUUGAGAGGAAGCUCAACGACUCCAUUGCCGAGGAGCUGAACAAGAAGUUGGCCAACAAGUCCAUUUUCGCUGCGUGGUGUUUCAUCCAUUCCUAGAUGAGAUUCUCAUUGGGAAGAUCAAAGGCUGCAGCCCAGAAGGAGUGCACGGUAACAGUGGCCCUGACGCCUCAGACAAGACUUG